CCCCCCCCCCCCCCCCUUUUUUUUGUUGGUUUAUUAUAUGCUCGUAAUUUUAUUCUUCUUCCAGCAAUGUUUGUUCCUGUCUUUUGAUCAAGAGCGCUGCUGGAGUGCUGGUUUAUUGCUGUGAAUAGUGUCGCGAUUCAUAGAUUGUUUUCAGUUCUAUCUAUGUAAUUAUAAUUUAAAUUUUGAUGAAAAUUGUGUUGGUAAAUUGUUUUGCUGUGUUGGUAAAUUGUUUAUAUAUUGCUGUGAAUAAUUGGUUAUUUGUUGAAGAUAAUGUUCACAUAUUGCCUAUGAUUCUCGGACUCGGGUACCCAUGGCCGACACGGUUACGUGUCCAAGUGUCCGACUCAACCAUUUUGUGAAAAUUUUCCAAGAUUUCUUGUUUAAUUUAAACUAACACAUUCGAAAAUGAUCCUAGGAUUAGUUAUGACUCAUUUGAGGCUCAGUUCUCAGUUUCCAUUGGAGCUCAUUGAUUUAAUGGUUUUGAAUGGGUAUAUUUAUGAACAUAAACUCUGUUUAAGAGCUUUUCAUGAAGUUUGAUGAAUAUAUCUAUUUUACUUGACUUGAAUAUUUGGUUUUUGAAAUUGGGUCAUCUCUCUCUUCUUCCCAAAUGGUUUCAUAUUAAGCUAUAUGAUAAUGCACCUGAUUGAUAGUUUAUGCUUAUGAGUUACAGAUGAGUAGAUAGCAAUUCACAUACACUUCUAAUACUUCCAUGCAUUGACUACCAUUUUCUUUGAGCCUUACUAAGUUACUACUUUAUUUUAUCUUCUUUUCUAUUUGCAGGCUUACCUCUACAUAUGUUAAGCCACCAUUCCCAAUUUGAUUGCGCUGCGUGUCAACCCGAUCCCUAAACUAUUUUCAACAUCAUUACAUUUGCCAACUUACCCUAAACUAUUCUAUUUAUCUAAUAUAUAAAGUGAAGAGAGAUUUUGGGUGAUAAAUGUCAAUUUGCCAGAUUACUCCUACUUACCUUUUUUUUUUUUUUUUUUUUUUUUUUUUUUUUUUUUUUUUUUUUAAGAACAACCAUCCUAAAUUGAAAAAAAAGUACCAUCCGAAUCUAACUUUUAGGAUAAAAUACAAUUAUACAAGUACUUAUCAACCGUUUUUUUUUAAUUAUUCAAUUAAAGAAAAUACUCUAUGACUUCAUCAGAUGUUUUUAUUUUUUAAACCAAUUUUUAUUUUAUAAUUUUUUUACUUAUAUUUAUUUUUAUUAUCAACAAUUUUAAAAUUUGCAUCACUAAUAUUUAUUGUAUUCUAUUAGAAUAAAGAAGAGAAUGAGCCUAAUAAGUUUCUUAAAUUGCGCACACACACGCAAUCUUAGCUUAUUCAAUUAAAUCGGACAAGUCCUUAAACUAUUUCUAGAAUAUAUGUAAAUUAUAUGACAAAUAAUAUUUAAAGGUCCCUAAACCUAUUGCCACAUCAACAGUUAUUGGCUGGAAAUUGCUUUCCCUGGUGGUUAAUGGACCAAUUUGCCUCAUUUAAAAGGCUUACCUCUACAUAUGUUAAGCCACCAUUCCCUUCAGAUUGUGGUGCUUGUCGUGUCAGUGUUAUGGUUGGAGUGCAGCAUAACAAGUAAGAGGAGAAUUGUGUGUAGCUAGCUGAUUGUUGCGAUUUUGGGUGUUUGAGGGAAGUAGGAGUUUGGGCGGCUGAUUGGCUGCUGCGCGGUGGCUCGGUUGGGAGUAGGGGCAGCAACGGGGAAGCGUGGUAAGUUACCAAAUGCGAGCUUGAGGAUGAAUUUCGAGUUUAUGGUGUUCUUUGCAAGUUCAGGGAUAUUCAUGAAAGCAUAUAUUUUCUCAACUAGAAGGAACAAGGUUCUCAACUUAGCUUGCUAGCAAAGGAUUUUGGGUCAUUUGAUUGUUUUUCAAGCGAGUUCCUGAUCGAUGGAAGUACACUCAGCCUUGUAGUUUCUGAUGAACAGAAAAAUGUUCAGGUCUUUGAACAUUAUGGCUGGAAUGGAAAUAGAGACAGAAGUGGAACACUGGAAGAAUGUAGCAGUGCCAGACUGACUUGAUGGGGAAUAAUAAUGAGAUGGUAAACCUGUAUGGAUUACUUAUGGUAUGAGAUGCUUUCUAAUUAAUUUUCGUUAUUUUUGAUGACUUUUUAUUUAGCCAUGAGGAUUAAAGUAACUGGCGUUCUGCUUCAGACAUUUCUUGACUCAAUUUUUCUUUGAAAUGGAUUCCUUAGUUUGGUUGCUUAAGAGCUGCCUUAUGUGUUGAACUCAUUCUAACUGUUGAUCUUGUAUCUUGAUCUCAUCUCUCUUUGCUGCCUUGACUCUUUUAUAUUCUGUCUUCCCCUGAUGAUGCAUGUAAAGAGUAGCUUCACAUGAAACAUUUGCUUCACCAUUUGAUUUCAGUUAUGCCAUCUCUCUGAAGUUCUCAACUUUUGCCAUCAUUUGAUUCACCAUUUGAUUGCAGUUAUUUAUGCUUGUUUGUGACUUCAUGUUAAAAGACAGAAAUAAUGACUUGAGGUCAAGUAUUGUGAUUAUUAAUGGAAGAUGAAACUCAACAAACUAUAGAGGUGCUAGUGGUGGAAGUCAAGGAUAAGCUUGCUAGUGUUACGGAGCCAAUUGAGGAAAAUGGUAAUAAAGAAGAAAAAGAAAGCUCUCUGGAUGAUGGAGAGUUCAUUAAGGUCGAGAGAGAACCUGUGGAAAUGAAAGAUAGGUUUCGAGAUGUUGAAGUAAAUGUUGAAGAAAGCAAAUCAUCUGUUAGUGAAUCUAGCAGAAAAGUCCUUGAAGCACUGGAGUAGAUAAACGAGCUUGAGACUGAAUUAGAAAGAGUGGCUGCUGCAUUAAACGAUUCUGAGUCACAGAAUGCAAAUUUGAAAAAUGAGGCCUUAUCGACUGAAGUAAAGCUGCAAGAAUGU